GCCCACCAAGGCAACGAUGGAUAGGGGAACUGAGAGGUUUAUCCCCCACACUGGUACUGAGACACGGACCAGACUCCUACGGGAGGCAGCAGUGAGGAAUAUUGGUCAAUGGACGCAAGUCUGAACCAGCCACGUCGCGUGAAGGAAGACGGCCCUACGGGUUGUAAACUUCUUUUGUAAGGGAAUAAAGUGAGUCACGUGUGGCUUUUUGCAUGUACCUUACGAAUAAGGAUCGGCUAACUCCGUGCCAGCAGCCGCGGUAAUACGGAGGAUCCGAGCGUUAUCCGGAUUUAUUGGGUUUAAAGGGUGCUCAGGCGGGCCAUUAAGUCGGCGGUGAAAUUUUGCGGCUCAACCGUAAAAGUGCCUUCGAUACUGGUGGUCUUGAGUGUGGAUGAGGUAGGCGGAAUUUGUGGUGUAGCGGUGAAAUGCAUAGAUAUCACGAGGAACUCCGAUUGCUAAGGCAGCUUACUAAGCCAUAACUGACGCUCAAGCACGAAGGCGUGGGGAUCAAACAGGAUUAGAUACCCUGGUAGUCCACGCAGUAAACGAUGAUUACUGGCUGUUUGCGAUAUAUUGUAAGCGGCUGAGCGAAGGC
rnacentral:rRNA from 1 species